AACGAACGCUGGCGGCAUGCCUAACUCAUGCAAGUCGAACGGGACCUUCGGGCGUAGUGGCGCACGGGUGCGUAACGCGUGGGAAGCUGCCCUUAGGUUCGGUAUCCCUCUCUGACUGGGGUGCUAAUAACGGUUACUGUCUUCGGACCAAAGCUUUCUCGCCUUUGGAUGGGCACACGUUGGUUUCGCUAGUUGGUGGGGUAAAGGCCUCCCAAGGUGACGAUUCUGAGCUGGUCUGAGAGGAAGAUCAGCAACACUGGAACUGAGAAACGGUCAAGACUCCUACGGGAGGAAGCAGUGGGGAAUAUUGGACAAUGGGGGAAAGCCUGAUACAGCAAUACCGCGUGGGUGAAGAAGGACUUCGGGUUGUAAAGCCCUUUUGUUGGGAAAGAAAAGCAGCAGGUUAAUACCCCGCUGUUAUGACGGUACCGAAAGAAUAAGCACCGGCUAACUUCGUG
rnacentral:rRNA from 1 species